UGAACGCUGGCGGCAGGCCUAACACAUGCAAGUCGAGCGGAUGAAAGGAGCUUGCUCCUGGAUUCAGCGGCGGACGGGUGAGUAAUGCCUAGGAAUCUGCCUGGUAGUGGGGGACAACGUUUCGAAAGGAACGCUAAUACCGCAUACGUCCUACGGGAGAAAGCAGGGGACCUUCGGGCCUUGCGCUAUCAGAUGAGCCUAGGUCGGAUUAGCUAGUUGGUGAGGUAAUGGCUCACCAAGGCGACGAUCCGUAACUGGUCUGAGAGGAUGAUCAGUCACACUGGAACUGAGACACGGUCCAGACUCCUACGGGAGGCAGCAGUGGGGAAUAUUGGACAAUGGGCGAAAGCCUGAUCCAGCCAUGCCGCGUGUGUGAAGAAGGUCUUCGGAUUGUAAAGCACUUUAAGUUGGGAGGAAGGGUUGUAGAUUAAUACUCUGCAAUUUUGACGUUACCGACAGAAUAAGCACCGGCUAACUCUGU
rnacentral:rRNA from 1 species